rnacentral:misc_RNA from 1 species
AACUAAUGCUCUUGAGACACCCUGUAGCCAAAGAAAAAUACAAAUCUGAAUUAGUUUUGCAAUGCCUGUUGAAACCAAGAUAUACAAACAAAUUUGUAGUAAUAUGUGUUCAGGUAAGAGAUAACCCCUGGACUCGUCUCUCAGGUUAAGAGAUGCAUGGGAUAUAAAAUCCAGAUUUUGGAGGAAAACUAAGAGAGGAAAUAUAAUCAUUUACAUGUUGCCUUAUCACAUGCUUUCAUAUGCCAGUAAUAAACAGAAGGAAAAAGACAGGAAAGUCAACAAAUUGUGCAUCAAUUUGAGAAAGAUAAACCCUGAGGUAUAAGUUGCUAAGAUCCUGUAAUGGAAAAGUGUUCUCUCCAAUUCUCUAUUGGGGAUGUGUAUACAAAAAUAGUCUUGUCAUUUUCCAAAUACUAAGUUGUUUACACAUUACAAUCUGAAAGCGAAUAUUAGCCUUACCUGACGUAUCCACCAAUAAACA